CGGCCCGGCCUCCGUCCCGGUGCAGUGUUGCGGUAAUGCUAUCUGCACUGGGAAUUUAUUCUGCAGCUUUCCUUUUCCGUGAUGGUUUUCAUUUCCUGUCUUUCAGAGCUGGAAGCGUUUAUGGAAUAUCACAUGGUUUUCGUUUACACAGGAAGUCAGCUGCAGCGUCACUGUUCUCCGAAGUGGCCUGUGAGUAUAUACAGAAAGCAGCAGUUUAUUUCUGACACGUGGUAAUCACUCUAUGUGAAGAAAGCUCAGCAUGAAGAGAUGCUUUGGCUUUGCCCGGAGCUAAGGCGCGAGCCCGGGGGAUGGGCGAGGAGCCUCCGGGACUGGCCGCGGGGAGAGGCUGAGAGCCCAGCCAGGACCCUGCGCGGCUCAGGCCGCCUGCCAAGCUCGGUUCCCGCCCUUCCGGGGGAAAACAAAACAAAACAAAAAACGGCCCUUACCGCCCAAUAACCUGCUAGGACCACUCUGCUUAAACCUGCACACAGCAUUGUCUUCCCUCUCCCCCACCGACAAGGACCACAGUAGGUCUCUUCUCAUCCACCUCCAGCCCAUCACCCCGGCAAUCAAGAGAAUCUCAAAGAUGGAGAAGGACGUGGAAGUAUUUGCGACUUGUUCUGUAAGCUCCGCCCUCUGGUCAACACUGAGUUAGGAACUCCUGACUAGAACCACCCACAAAGACAGCGCUCUCUAGUUACCCUCUCUGCUUCCGCAGUGUGGUUCCAGCAGCUUCUCACCCUCCACCCAGGAACCUCGGGCAACUGACCACCCUGGGCAAUAGCGCCACCUCGUGGCCAGCACCCCUCUCCAAGCAUUUCUUCCUCUCCCUUUUCCAGGAGCCUGAACAGUCUCUGUGGUCCCUGGAGACUGGCUUGAAGAGCCAGGGUAUUCACAAUCAAAUCAGGGCUGAGAGCCCCCGCCCGAGGGUUGAAAUGGUCCCUCCCUCUUUUCUUCUUGCCCCUGAAUAAACUAAAAGGAAAGCA